rnacentral:miRNA from 1 species
ACACAUCAAGGAUAAUUUCUCC